GAUCUCAGAAUGAGCUGAAGAUCAGUGACCCAAGUGUGACAGGGUAAACUCCCAAGAAUGUCCAUUGAGAGCCUCAAACCAUGUGUCUCCUGGGAAGUGACCUGAGCAGAAGAAAGAGCCGAGAUAAAAGAAGGGGAAGAGAAACACAGAAGAGCUCCUCAGAGGACCACAUCAUGGGAACUGAGCCUCCUCAGAGCCUUGCUGCUUCUAAGAUCCAGGGAAUAUCUUGCCUUCCAGCCCAUGGAGGAAGGCCCAGCAAUGACAGAGCCCUAUAAGAAAAGAGUGCCAGUUGUAAAAGGUCUUAAUGUGCUGGAAGUCUGCCAUCCUCACCCUGAGAUCAGGGACGACCUGGACAGCAGCCUUUGCUGUGUGCAACUCCAGCCUAGCGCUCUGCGUCUUAUUCUUCUGUAGCAGCCUCCAGACCUCGAGAGAGAGAAGUAUUCAUUUGCUUCCAACCUGCCUCCCCCUGAGUAUCGACACUGCAUUGAACCCGGAGGGAAUCUCCCAAAGGCUGUCGUCUGCGUAGCCCCUGUGCUCAUCCUGGCCUACCCUUUCAUGACCUCCUCAAAAUGAGUUCUGUGUGUUUGUCCAGAAAAGAUUACAGAUCUGAGGGUGCAUCCAGGAAUUGGCUGGCACAGAGCUCCUGAUGGUCUGUCCCAGGACUUCAUUAAGCAUGGUUCCCAUUGCUAAGCAACAGAAGUGCUGGAACUGGCAUCAGUCAUCUGUCAUCCAGCAGCCCAGGUCAUAUGC
rnacentral:lncRNA from 1 species